CCUACGGGAGGCAGCAGUGAGGAAUAUUGGUCAAUGGCCGGAAGGCUGAACCAGCCAAGCCGCGUGAGGGAGGAAGGCGCAGAGCGUCGCAGACCUCUUUUGCCGGGGGACAAAAGGCCGGACUCGUCCGGUCCUGAGGGUACCCGGAGAAAAAGCAUCGGCUAACGCCGUGCCAGCAGCCGCGGGAAUACGGGGGAUGCGAGCGUUAUCCGGAUUCAUGGGGUUUAAAGGGUGCGCAGGGGGGCCUUUAAGCCGGCGGUGAAAUGGCGGGGCUCAACCCCGCCGAGCCGUCGGAACUGGGUGCCUUGAGUGCGGCUGGGGCAUGCGGAAUGCGCGGUGUAGCGGUGAAAUGCAUAGAUAUCGCGCAGAACCCCGAUGGCGAAGGCAGCGUGCCGUGCCGCCACUGACGCUGAGGCACGAAGGCGCGGGGAUCGAACAGGAUUAGAUACCCCUGUAGUC
rnacentral:rRNA from 1 species